rnacentral:rRNA from 1 species
UACAGAGGUCUCAAGCGUUGUUCGGAUUCAUUGGGCGUAAAGGGUGCGUAGGCGGCGCGGUAAGUCGGGUGUGAAAUCUCGGAGCUUAACUCCGAAACUGCAUUCGAUACUGCCGUGCUUGAGGACUGGAGAGGAGACUGGAAUUUACGGUGUAGCGGUGAAAUGCGUAGAUAUCGGGAGGAACACCUGUGGCGAAAGCGGCGCACUGGACCACAUCUGACGCUGAGGCGCGAAAGCUAGGGGAGCAAACAGG